rnacentral:rRNA from 1 species
AUGGUGAGCUGGCCAGACAUCUGCAAAUCCAAAGACCAGGGCGGCCUUGGGAUAUUGUCCUCUCGACGCAUGAACAUUGUUCUCCUAACCCGCUGGCUUUGGCGCAUCGCCAAUGGGGAGGAAGGUCUAUGGCUCACCAUCAUCCAGGAUAAGUACCUUAGGGGCCAACCCCUUGCCUUCUGCCAGCGCUCGGGUGGUUCCCAGUUCUGGCAGUUGGUGAUCCAGCUCCUGCCCGUCCUCCGCAUUGGCACGUCCAUCUCGGUUGGCUCCAGGUCCUCGACCCUGUUCUGGUUUGGCCGGUGGUUGGGGGACUCCCCCUCGCGACGCGAUUCCCCGAUCUAUUCGCCAUUGCGAUUGACCCUCGGGUCUCUGUCGAGACGGCCCUUAUUGACUUAG